AAUGCAAGUCGACGCUUCUUUUUCCACCGGAGCUUGCUCCACCGGAAAAAGAGGAGUGGCGAACGGGUGAGUAACACGUGGGUAACCUGCCCAUCAGAAGGGGAUAACACUUGGAAACAGGUGCUAAUACCGUAUAACAAUCGAAACCGCAUGGUUUUGAUUUGAAAGGCGCUUUCGGGUGUCGCUGAUGGAUGGACCCGCGGUGCAUUAGCUAGUUGGUGAGGUAACGGCUCACCAAGGCCACGAUGCAUAGCCGACCUGAGAGGGUGAUCGGCCACAUUGGGACUGAGACACGGCCCAAACUCCUACGGGAGGCAGCAGUAGGGAAUCUUCGGCAAUGGACGAAAGUCUGACCGAGCAACGCCGCGUGAGUGAAGAAGGUUUUCGGAUCGUAAAACUCUGUUGUUAGAGAAGAACAAGGAUGAGAGUAACUGUUCAUCCCUUGACGGUAUCUAACCAGAAAGCCACGGCUAACUACGUGCCAGCAGCCGCGGUAAUACGUAGGUGGCAAGCGUUGUCCGGAUUUAUUGGGCGUAAAGCGAGCGCAGGCGGUUUCUUAAGUCUGAUGUGAAAGCCCCCGGCUCAACCGGGGAGGGUCAUUGGAAACUGGGAGACUUGAGUGCAGAAGAGGAGAGUGGAAUUCCAUGUGUAGCGGUGAAAUGCGUAGAUAUAUGGAGGAACACCAGUGGCGAAGGCGGCUCUCUGGUCUGUAACUGACGCUGAGGCUCGAAAGCGUGGGGAGCAAACAGGAUUAGAUACCCUGGUAGUCCACGCCGUAAACGAUGAGUGCUAAGUGUUGGAGGGUUUCCGCCCUUCAGUGCUGCAGCUAACGCAUUAAGCACUCCGCCUGGGGAGUACGACCGCAAGGUUGAAACUCAAAGGAAUUGACGGGGGCCCGCACAGCGGUGGAGCAUGUGGUU
rnacentral:rRNA from 1 species